GCCUACGGCCAUACCAGUCUGAAAGUGCCUGAUCUCGUCAGAUCUCAGAAGUCAUGCAGACUUGGGCCUGCUUAGUACUUGUAUGGGAGACCACCUACUUUGAAGAAGCCUGCUUAAACCCAGGCC